AUCCAUUGCUGCUGGGGGGUGGCAAUGAAGAUCUCAAUAUUCAUAAUUGUUGUUGGGAUAUCUUUGAUGUUUGUCGCUAAAGGAAAGCAUAAAUGGUACGAUUUCCAUAAACGCAUUGCACUUCCCAUACUGGGACCAACAGUUUAACAAACAGCUUAAGUAAAGUCUUUGAGUAUGGAUUACGCUACGCAGCACCCAUUUGAUUUAUUUUAAAUGUUUGCAAAAUCUAGGAGAAGACCAAACCAUUCCCACGUAGACAUCUAAAAGAAGCCAUCUUGGGCCUUUAAAACACACGUUAAAAGUUGUAAUAAAGGUGAAAAAGCUGUCAAUGAA